GACGAACGCUGGCGGCGUGCCUAACACAUGCAAGUCGAACGGGGCUCUUUGGAUCGAGACUUCGGUCAAGUGAAUCUGAGCUUAGUGGCGGACGGGUGAGUAACGCGUGAGCAACCUGCCUUUCAGAGGGGGACAACAGUUGGAAACGACCGCUAAUACCGCAUAAGCCCACAGCUCCGCAUGGUGCAGGGGUAAAAACUCCGGUGGUAUGAGAUGGAUCCGCGUCUGAUUAGCUAGUUGGUAAGGUAACGGCUUACCAAGGCAACGAUCAGUAGCCGACCUGAGAGGGUGACCGGCCACAUUGGGACUGAGACACGGCCCAA
rnacentral:rRNA from 1 species